CCCCUCUCAGAAUUGCAUCUGGAGAGUUUCCAGUACUCUACCAGUCUUGGAUACGGGAGGGAGAAUCAAGCAGAGGCCUAGCCAUUCCAUUCCUAUCUGGCAGAGGCUAGUGAGUGGAAAGCACUCUGCUACAAUU